rnacentral:rRNA from 1 species
AACGAACGCUGGCGGCAUGCCUAACACAUGCAAGUCGAACGAGACCGUCGGGUCUUGUGGCGCACGGGUGCGUACCGCGUGGGAACCUGCCCUUAGGUUCGGAAUCACUCCCCGAAAGGGGUGCUAAUACCGGAUAAUGUCUUCGGACCAAGGAUUUAUCGCCUUUGGAUGGGCCCGCGUUGGAUUAGCUAGUUGGUAGGGUAAAAGCCUACCAAGGCGACGAUCCAUAGCUGGUCUGAGAGGAUGAUCAGCCACACUGGGACUGGGACACGGCCCAGACGCCUACGGGAGGCAGCAGUGGGGAAUAUUGGACAGUGGGCGAAAGCCUGAUCCGGCAAGGCCGCGAGAGUGAUGAAGGCCUUAGGGUUGUAAAGCUCUUUUACCCGGGAUGAUAAUGACAGUACCGGGAGAAUAAGCUCCGGCUAACUCCGU